rnacentral:tRNA from 1 species
UGGCUUAGCUGGUAAAGCAUCUGCCUGCAAUGCAGGAGACCCGGGUUUGAUCCCUGA